AAACGACGGUUUCCUCUUCGGAGGCACCUGCACGAGGUGCUGCAUGGGCUGUCGUCAGCUCGUGUCGUGAGAUGUUGGGUUAAGUCCCGCAACGAGCGCAACCCCUACGUUUAGUUGCUAACACGUGAAGGCGAGCACUCUAGACGAGCUGCCGUUGACAAAACGGAGGAAGGUGGGAUGACGUCAAAUCAUCAUGCCCCUUAUGUUCUGGGCUACACACGUGCUACAAUGGCCGGUACAGACGGACGCAAAGCCGCGAGGUGGAGCAAAUCCUAAAAAGCCGGUCUCAGUUCGGAUUGCAGGCUGCAAUUCGCCUGCAUGAAGUCGGAAUCGCUAGUAAUCGCAGGUCAGCAUACUGCGGUGAAUACGUUCCCGGGCCUU
rnacentral:rRNA from 1 species